GCCCAUGUGGCCUAAUGGAUAAGGCGUCGGUCUCCUAAACCGAAGACUGCGGGUUCAAGUCCCGCCGUGGGUG
rnacentral:tRNA from 1 species